rnacentral:rRNA from 1 species
GGUCAAGCGAACAAGUGCAUGUGGUGGAUGCCUUGGCGAUCACAGGCGAUGAAGGACGCGGUAGCCUGCGAAAAGCCCCGGGGAGCUGGCAAACAAGCUUUGAUCCGGGGAUGUCCGAAUGGGGAAACCCACUCCGUAUGGAGUAUCCAUGACUGAAUACAUAGGUCAUGUGAAGCGAACGCGGUGAACUGAAACAUCUAAGUAACCGCAGGAAAAGAAAUCAACCGAGAUUCCCAAAGUAGUGGCGAGCGAAAUGGGAUGAGCCUUGUACUCUUUAUUUGUAUUGUUAGCCGAACGCUCUGGAAAGUGCGGCCAUAGCAGGUGAUAGCCCUGUAGGCGAAAACAGUAUGAAAGAACUAGGUGUACGACAAGUAGGGCGGGACACGUGAAAUCCUGUCUGAAGAUGGGGGGACCAUCCUCCAAGGCUAAAUACUCGUGAUCGACCGAUAGUGAACCAGUACCGUGAGGGAAAGGCGAAAAGAACCCCGGGAGGGGAGUGAAAUAGAUCCUGAAACCGCAUGCAUACAAACAGUCGGAGCCUCGUAAGGGGUGACGGCGUACCUUUUGUAUAAUGGGUCAGCGACUUACGUUCAGUAGCAAGCUUAACCGUAUAGGGCAGGCGUAGCGAAAGCGAGUCCGAAUAGGGCGUUCAGUUGCUGGGCGUAGACCCGAAACCAGGUGAUCUAUCCAUGGCCAGGAUGAAGGUGCGGUAACACGUACUGGAGGUCCGAACCCACUAACGUUGAAAAGUUAGGGGAUGAGCUGUGGAUAGGGGUGAAAGGCUAAACAAACCUGGAAAUAGCUGGUUCUCUCCGAAAACUAUUUAGGUAGUGCCUCGUGUCUCACCUUCGGGGGUAGAGCACUGUCAUGGUUGGGGGGUCUAUUGCAGAUUACCCCGCCAUAGCAAACUCCGAAUACCGAAGAGUGCAAUCACGGGAGACAGACAUCGGGUGCUAACGUCCGGUGUCAAGAGGGAAACAACCCAGACCGCCAGCUAAGGUCCCCAAAUAUGGCUAAGUGGGAAACGAAGUGGGAAGGCUAAAACAGUCAGGAGGUUGGCUUAGAAGCAGCCACCCUUUAAAGAAAGCGUAAUAGCUCACUGAUCGAGUCGUCCUGCGCGGAAGAUGUAACGGGGCUAAGCCAUAUACCGAAGCUGCGGAUGCGUGCUUGCACGCAUGGUAGGAGAGCGUUCCGUAAGCCUGCGAAGGUGUCUUGUAAAGGAUGCUGGAGGUAUCGGAAGUGCGAAUGCUGACAUGAGUAGCGAUAAAGGGGGUGAAAGGCCCCCUCGCCGUAAGCCCAAGGUUUCCUACGCAACGUUCAUCGGCGUAGGGUGAGUCGGCCCCUAAGGCGAGGCAGAAAUGCGUAGCUGAUGGGAAGCAGGUCAAUAUUCCUGCACCGUCGUUAGAUGCGAUGGGGGGACGGAUCGCGGAAGGUUGUCCGGGUGUUGGACGUCCCGGUCGCUGCAUUGGAGAAGGCGCUUAGGCAAAUCCGGGCGCAGGAUUCAAGGGUGUGGCGCGAGCGACUUCGGUCGCGAAGCAAUUGGAAGUGGUUCCAAGAAAAGCCUCUAAGCUUCAGUCUAACGAUGACCGUACCGCAAACCGACACAGGUGGGCGAGAUGAGUAUUCUAAGGCGCUUGAGAGAACUCGGGAGAAGGAACUCGGCAAAUUGGUACCGUAACUUCGGGAUAAGGUACGCCCUUGUAGCUUGACUGGCCUGCGCCAGGAGGGUGAAGGGGUUGCAAUAAACUGGUGGCUGCGACUGUUUAAUAAAAACACAGCACUCUGCAAACACGAAAGUGGACGUAUAGGGUGUGACGCCUGCCCGGUGCCGGAAGAUUAAAUGAUGGGGUGCAAGCUCUUGAUUGAAGUCCCGGUAAACGGCGGCCGUAACUAUAACGGUCCUAAGGUAGCGAAAUUCCUUGUCGGGUAAGUUCCGACCUGCACGAAUGGCGUAACGAUGGCCACACUGUCUCCUCCCGAGACUCAGCGAAGUUGAAGUGUUUGUGAUGAUGCAAUCUACCCGCGGCUAGACGGAAAGACCCCAUGAACCUUUACUGUAGCUUUGCAUUGGACUUUGAACCGAUCUGUGUAGGAUAGGUGGGAGGCUAUGAAACCGGAACGCUAGUUUCGGUGGAGCCGUCCUUGAAAUACCACCCUGGUUUGUUUGAGGUUCUAACCUUGGUCCGUGAUCCGGAUCGGGGACAGUGCAUGGUAGGCAGUUUGACUGGGGCGGUCUCCUCCCAAAGGGUAACGGAGGAGUACGAAGGUACGCUAGGUACGGUCGGAAAUCGUGCUGAUAGUGCAAUGGCAUAAGCGUGCUUAACUGCGAGACCGACAAGUCGAGCAGGUGCGAAAGCAGGUCAUAGUGAUCCGGUGGUUCUGUAUGGAAGGGCCAUCGCUCAACGGAUAAAAGGUACUCUGGGGAUAACAGGCUGAUACCGCCCAAGAGUUCAUAUCGACGGCGGUGUUUGGCACCUCGAUGUCGGCUCAUCUCAUCCUGGGGCUGUAGCCGGUCCCAAGGGUAUGGCUGUUCGCCAUUUAAAGAGGUACGUGAGCUGGGUUUAAAACGUCGUGAGACAGUUUGGUCCCUAUCUGCCGUGGGCGUUGGAUAUUUGAAGGGGGCUGCUCCUAGUACGAGAGGACCGGAGUGGACGAACCUCUGGUGUACCGGUUGUGACGCCAGUCGCAUCGCCGGGUAGCUAUGUUCGGAAGAGAUAACCGCUGAAAGCAUCUAAGCGGGAAACUCGCCUUAAGAUGAGAUAUCCCUGGAGGCUUGACCUCCUUGAAGGGUCGUUCGAGACCAGGACGUUGAUAGGUCGGGUGUGUAAGCGCAGUAAUGCGUUCAGCUAACCGAUACUAAUUGCCCGUAAGGCUUGAUCCU